ACAUGCACUCUAAAAGAAAUUCAGUAAUAAACGAAGUAAAUUGAAAUAUCUUAAUAACUUUAGGAAAAGAAAUCAAAAGAGAUUCUAUAAUUAGUGAGAAUGAAAAUAGAAAAGCCUCCUAAUAUAUAGGAAGUUUAGGUUUAAUGUGUAAACAAAAAUCAAAAUCAUUAUAAUAUUUAAAAUUUUUGGAAAUUUUUUAAAGUUUGGAUUUAAUAUUAAAUAAAUAAAAGUUUUAUAAAAGUAAAAAUAAUAAGUAAAAUGGGUUAAAGCCUGUUUGAAUAAGUAAAGGGGAACCUUCCUCUAAGGCUAAAUAUGAUAAUUUAAGCGAUAGUGAAAAGUACCGUGAGGGAAGUGAAAAAAGAUACUGUUUACCUCUAGAUAGACGAGAAGACCCUAUGCAGCUUUACUGUUGCUAGCCAUUGCGUGUGAUUGAACCAUUAGUAGUGAAUAAGGUAAUUGUUUAAAUAUAGUUGAAACGCCUUUUUGUGUUUAUCACAUUGCUGAGGACAAUGAGAACAACGGCUAGGUGGCAGUUUAUGCGGGGCACAGAUCCCAUAAAGAGUAACUGGGUAUAUCCUAAAAAUAGUGAUUUUGAUAAUUACUUGUCAAGUUUAAUGGCAUAAUCUUGCUUAACUGUUUGACCUACACGUCUAUCAGUCGCGUAAGCGGGGCAUACGAUCACGAGAUACAUAAAGGACUGGUCUCGUAUUAUAGAAUAAAGUUACGCUAGGGAUAACAGGCUGAUUGCGCUUGAGAGUACACAUUGGGAGCGCAGUUUGGCACCUCGAUGUCGGCUUAGCUUAUCCUCAUGAACGCAGGAGCCAUGAAGGGUACGACUGUUCGUCGUUUAAAAAGCUACACGAGCUGGGUUAAAUACGUCGUGAGACAGUAUGGUUUCUAUCUUCUAGUGGUAAUUAGAGUAAAAUAAAAUCAGCCCCUUUGUACGAAAGGAACUGGGUACAUUAACCUCUGGUUUACCUGUUGUUUAUGUGAACAAUAUUAAUU
rnacentral:rRNA from 1 species